rnacentral:tRNA from 1 species
AGUAAAGUCAGCUAAAUUAAGCUUUUGGGCCCAUACCCCAAACAUGAUGGUCAAAUUCCUUCCUUUGCUA